rnacentral:rRNA from 1 species
AGCAUUCUCUGGUGUUGAAGGCCCUGCAAAGCAGCAUCGCGGUGGCGGAGCGUCGUUUGCGACGCCCAACACACAAAACAAGCGGUGAGUGCUUUGGGGUGGGGUGACUGCGUACCUUUUGUAUAAUGGGUCAGCGACUUAUAUUCUGUAGCAAGGUUAACCGAAUAGGGGAGCCGGAGGGAAACCGAGUCUUAAUUGGGCGUUAAGUUGCAGGGUAUAGACCCGAAACCCGGUGAUCUAGCCAUGGGCAGGUUGAAGGUUGGGUAACACUAACUGGAGGACCGAACCGACUAAUGUUGAAAAAUUAGCGGAUGACCUGUGGCUGGGGGUGAAAGGCCAAUCAAACCGGGAGAUAGCUGGUUCUCCCCGAAAGCUAUUUAGGUAGCGCCUCGUGAAUUCAUCUCCGGGGGUAGAGCACUGUUUCGGCUAGGGGGCCAUCCCGGCUUACCAACCCGAUGCAAACUGCGAAUACCGGAGAAUGUUAUCACGGGAGACACACGGCGGGUGCUAACGUCCGUCGUGAAGAGGGAAACAACCCAGACCGCCAGCUAAGGUCCCAAAGUCAUGGUUAAGUGGGAAACGAUGUGGGAAGGCCCAGACAGCCAGGAUGUUGGCUUAGAAGCAGCCAUCAUUUAAAGAAAGCGUAAUAGCUCACUGGUCGAGUCGGCCUGCGCGGAAGAUGUAACGGGGCUAAACCAUGCACCGAAGCUGCGGCAGCGACGCUUAUGCGUUGUUGGGUAGGGGAGCGUUCUGUAAGCCUGCGAAGGUG